rnacentral:ncRNA from 1 species
UUAAAUGCAGUGACGGGAAGCAGUACAUGAUUUCAGUAUGCCCAGAGAGAAGGUGGCUGGUGUGAACCUUCGUGACAGAAUUAUGGAAGUAGUCCCCGAGCAGUGAACUGAACCAUGAUCUUAUCUGGAUCAUACAGUAGGCUUCAACGUAGUUUCCACGUUACAGGAAAGCAGUAUGAUCAUGUACUGGCAGAGAGAGAGUAUUCUCUGAAAUCAGGUGGUACCACGGAUUUAUCCGUCCUGAGC